rnacentral:lncRNA from 1 species
UUUUUUUUAUUUUUAAAUAUUUAUCACAACUACAUAUAAUAAAUUGUUCACAAUAUUUAUGAAUUGAAGAAAUGACUAUAAUCAUGAUAAUAAUUGAAUCUCUAUCUCUUAACGACAAUUUUUCAAAACAUGGAUAUAACCAAUAUCUUUUAUCUCACUUUAAAAUGGUGUGGUAUACUGCUGUGAAUCAAUUAAUUCGUUGGCGAUUUGAUUUGUUGUUUUUUUAUACGCCCGUCAAAGUUUUGACGGGACGUAUUAUGGUAUACAAAUGUCCGGUGUCUGUCCGUCUGUCUGUCCGUCUGUCCGGCGUAAACAUGUUGCACCGUAAUUGGAGAAUGACCAAACCAAAUUUCAUGAAACUUAAUAUAGUUGUUUCUUAUGAUGGUCAAAUGAUCUGUAUACUUUUUGGUGAAAAAUAAGAUUUAAACUUUUUGAGUUACGGCACUUUAUAACUAAACAGGGUUGUUUUUUUUCACAUGUCGCACUGUAUUUCAAAAACGAUUCUUGAUUAUGACUUAAAACUUUAAACACUUCUUAGUUAUAUUAAUCUCAAUAUCUGUAUACUUUUUGGAGUUGAUUCAAAAUUUCAUUUUUGAGUUAUUGAGUAUUUUGUAAAAAAGGGGGAGGUUUUUUUUACAUGUCGCGCCAUAUCUCAAAAAUUAUUAAUGAUUAUUGCUUAAAACUUUACACAUGUCUUGUUAUAUUAAUCUAAGAUCUGUAUACUUUUUGGUGAUAAUUCAAAAAUUUCAUUUUUGAUUAUUGAGUAUUUUGUAAAAAAGGGGGAGGUUUUUUUUACAUGUUGUGCCGUAUCUCAAAAAGAUUUAUGAUUAUUGCUUAACCCUUUCCUCCAUAAUGACGCCUUUAGACGCCACCCCCUUUACUCCAUAAUGACGCCUUUUGACGCCUGUGUAGUGCCUCAGUUGAAACUUUUCACAUACAAAAAGACUUGAUCAGACUUAAUAAAAUUUGUAUCCAAUAUAAAAAGGAUAUUCAUGAGAAUCAUGACUGGAUCAUUGAUGAAAUAUUUGUUUUUGGCAAUGCAUUAAUAAUUUAAACCCGAUGUUUUUUUUUUCUUGAAAAAAUCCUAUGCGAAUCAAGUAUUUAAAAAAAAUGUAUCCAUGGAGGAAAGGGUUAAAACUUUACACACUUCUUUGUUCUAUUAAUGUUAAGAUCUGUAUACUUUUUGGUGAUUAUUCAAAAUUUUAUUUUUGAGUUAUUGAGUAUUUUGUAAAACAGGGGAGGUUUUUUUACAUGUCGCGCCGUAUCUCAAAAAUAAGUUAUGAUUAUUGCUUAAAACUUUACACACUUCUUUAUUAUAUUAAUCUAAAGAUCUGUAUACUUUUUGGUUUUGAUUCAAAAUUUUAUUUUGGUAAUAUUUAGUUUUUUGUAAAAAAAAAACAGGGUGGGGGGUUUCACAUGUCCCGCUGACACAUGUCUCUAAACAAUAUAUGGUUAUUGCUUAAAACUUUCUCAGAAACUAUUUAUGAUUAUUGCAUAAGACUUCCACAUAAGACGUCGGGCAUAUCGUGCGCUCAUGGCGCAGCUGUUUAUUAUUAAAACUUUUCUUACAAGCCUAAAAAAAAUUGUACUCUGUAGAACAUUUUAAUUCAUGGUGUGCCUUAAGGUGGUACCCAACACUUUCUCUAAAAUUAAUUUGCCUAGUUUAAUUUUCAUAAAAUUUUGUCAAAGUAUUUACUUUGAGACUUAAAUAAAAAUAUAAAAAUUUACAAAUUUUUGAACCAACCGUUAUGUCAGAAAAAUUACACUGGUUAUAUAGCAUUU